GAAGAGCACCCCCUGGACUUAACACUCCCCAUUUCAGAUGUCCCCACAGGUUCCCCAGGUAAAAACUGAGAAUGGGGAAUGAAGGUUUGCUUGAAUGAUAUUGAUAGAGAUGGCCCAAGCAGGGGAGCAGUAGAGAGAGAAGGAGAAGCGGACUCCGGCUGAGCAGGGAGCCCAACACUGAGCCUCGAUCCCAGGAUUUUGGGGUCAA
rnacentral:lncRNA from 1 species